CCUACGGGGGGCUGCAGUGAGGAAUAUUGGUCAAUGGACGAGAGUCUGAACCAGCCAAGUAGCGUGAAGGAUGACUGCCCUAUGGGUUGUAAACUUCUUUUAUAUGGGAAUAAAGUGUUCCACGUGUGGGAUUUUGUAUGUACCAUAUGAAUAAGGAUCGGCUAACUCCGUGCCAGCAGCCGCGGUAAUACGGAGGAUCCGAGCGUUCUCCGGAUUUAUUGGGUUUAAAGGGUGCGUAGGUGGGUUGUUAAGUCAGGUGUGAAAGUUUGCGGCUCAACCGUAGAAUUGCAGUUGAAACUGGCAGCCUUGAGUGCAGGAGAGGUAGGCGGAAUGCGUGGUGUAGCGGUGAAAUGCAUAGAUAUCACGAAGAACUCCGAUUGCGAAGGCAGCUUACUGGACUGCAACUGACACUGAGGCACGAAAGUGUGGGUAUCGAACAGGAUUAGAUACCCCUGUAGUC
rnacentral:rRNA from 1 species